UACGUAGGGGGCAAGCGUUGUUCGGAAUUACUGGGCGUAAAGGGCGCGUAGGCGGCCUGUUUAGUCGGACGUGAAAUCCCCGGGCUCAACCCGGGAACUGCGUCCGAUACUGGCAGGCUUGAAUCCGGGAGAGGGAUGCGGAAUUCCAGGUGUAGCGGUGAAAUGCGUAGAUAUCUGGAGGAACACCGGUGGCGAAGGCGGCAUCCUGGACCGGCAUUGACGCUGAGGCGCGAAGGCUAGGGGAGCAAACGGG
rnacentral:misc_RNA from 1 species